ACGGGUGAGUAACACGUAGGCAACCUGCCCUCAAGCUUGGGACAACUACCGGAAACGGUAGCUAAUACCGAAUACUUGUUUUCUUCGCCUGAAGAAAACUGGAAAGACGGAGCAAUCUGUCACUUGAGGAUGGGCCUGCGGCGCAUUAGCUAGUUGGUGAGGUAACGGCUCACCAAGGCGACGAUGCGUAGCCGACCUGAGAGGGUGAUCGGCCACACUGGGACUGAGACACGGCCCAGACUCCUACGGGAGGCAGCAGUAGGGAAUCUUCCGCAAUGGGCGAAAGCCUGACGGAGCAAUGCCGCGUGAGUGAUGAAGGUUUUCGGAUCGUAAAGCUCUGUUGCCAGGGAAGAACGCUUAGGAGAGUAACUGCUCCUGAGGUGACGGUACCUGAGAAGAAAGCCCCGGCUAACUACGUGCCAGCAGCCGCGGUAAUACGUAGGGGGCAAGCGUUGUCCGGAAUUAUUGGGCGUAAAGCGCGCGCAGGCGGUCAUUUAAGUCUGGUGUUUAAUCCCGGGGCUCAACCCCGGAUCCCACUGGAAACUGGGUGACUUGAGUGCAGAAGAGGAGAGUGGAAU
rnacentral:rRNA from 1 species